GGAUUAGAUACCCUGGUAGUCCACUGCCGUAAACGAUGGGUGCUAGACGUCGGAGAGCAUGCUCUUCGGUGUCGCAGCUAACGCAUUAAGCACCCCGCCUGGGAAGUACGGUCGCAAGAUUAAAACUCAAAGGAAUUGACGGGGGCCCGCACAAGCGGUGGAGCAUGUGGUUUAAUUCGACGCAACGCGAAGAACCUUACCAGCCCUUGACAUCCCGGUCGCGGUUUCCAGAGAUGGAUCCCUUCAGUUCGGCUGGACCGGUGACAGGUGCUGCAUGGCUGUCGUCAGCUCGUGCCG
rnacentral:rRNA from 1 species